GUAGAAUAUUAGAAAUCAGUUGAAUCAUUGCUAAUUCAAGUGAUUGUUAGAAUUUAGCAUAUCUUGCUGCUUUCAAUAAUUUUUUUUAGAACAAAAAUAUAUAAUAUGUUUAAGUGACAGGACAUAAGAUUAUCUUCUAUCUGCUCUUACCUGAAUUAUUCCUGUUUCUGUAAAAGUAUGUACAAAGUUAAAUAAACUCUUGUAGUGUGGCUUCCUGGGGAAUCUUCAAGGGGUUUGUUUUGUGUAUGAAAUUUGAGCAUUAGCUAGCUAUAUCCUUCUU
rnacentral:misc_RNA from 1 species